rnacentral:rRNA from 1 species
UGACGCUGGCGGCAUGCCUAACACAUGUUAGUCGAACGGAAACGAUAGGACGCUUGCUCCUAGGCGUCGAGUGGCGGACGGGUGAGUAACGCGUAGGAAUCUACCCAUAAGCGGGGGAUAGCCCGAGGAAACUCGGAUUAAUACCGCAUAUAUUUUACGAAAGAAAGGUGGCCUCUCCUUGGAUGCUGCCACUUAUGGAUGAGCCUGCGUUGGAUUAGCUUGUUGGUGGGGUAAUGGCCCACCAAGGCGAUGAUCCAUAGCUGUUCUGAGAGGAAGAUCAGCCACACUGGGACUGAGACACGGCCCAGACUCCUACGGGAGGCAGCAGUGGGGAAUAUUGGACAAUGGGCGAAAGCCUGAUCCAGCAAUGCCGCGUGUGUGAAGAAGGCCUGCGGGUCGUAAAGCACUUUCAGUGGUGAGAAAGGGUGCUACGGUUAAGAGCUAUAGCAUUUGAUGUUAGCCACAAAAGAAGCACCGGCUAACUCCGUGCCAGCAGCCGCGGUAAUACGGAGGGUGCGA